AACUUCGUGCCAGCAGCCGCGUAAUACGUAGGUGGCAAGCUUUGUCCGGAUUUAUUGGGCGUAAAGGAGCCCAGGCGGUUUCUUAAGUCUGAUGUGAAAGCCCCCGGUUCAACCGGGGAGGGUCAUUGGAAACUGGGAGACUUGAGUGCAGAAGAGGAGAGUGAAUUCCAUGGGAGCGGUGAAAUGCGUAGAUAUAUGGAGGAACACCAGUGGCGAAGGCGGCUCUCUGGUCUGUAACUGACGCUGAGGCUCGAAAGCGUGGGGAGCGAACAGGAUUAGAUACCCUGGUAGUCCACGCCGUAAACGAUGAGUGCUAAGUGUGGGAGGGUUUCCGCCCUCCAGUGCUGCAGCAAACGCAUUAAGCACUCCGCCUGGGGAGUACGCCCGCAAGGUUGAAACUCAAAGGAAUUGACGGGGGCCCGCACAAGCGGUGGAGCAUGUGGUUUAUUUCGAAGCAACGCGAAGAACCUUCCCAGGUCUUGACAUCCUUUGACCACUCUAGAGAUAGAGCUUCCCCUUGGGGGGCAAAUUGCCAGUUGGUGCAUGGUGGUCGUCAGCUCGUGUCGUGAGAUGUUGGGUUAAGUCCCGCAACGAGCGCAACCCUUAUUGUUAGUUGCCAUCAUUUAGUUGGGCACUCUAGCGAGACUGCCGGGGACAAACCGGAGGAAGGUGGGGAGGACGUCAAAUCAUCAUGCCCCUUAUGACCUGGGCUACACACGUGCUACAAUGGGAAGUACAACGAGUUGGGAAGUCGGGAGGCUAAGCUAAUUUCUUAAAGCUUCUCUCAGUUCGGAUUGUAGGCUGCAACUGGCCUACAUGAAGCCGGAAUCGCUGGUAAUCGCGGAUCAGC
rnacentral:rRNA from 1 species